UUCCACCUCUUACUGAUUGGAUAAGUUAGUUCGGGGGGGUCUUCCUUGCCGGUAGCUCAGCAACCAUAAAGAAAGUUGCUUAUGGAUGGAGACGGACCCGCGCUCCCCCCGGGGGGGGGGCAAACCUACUGGCCAGGGAGAGGUGGCGGCGGGACCGCCACCACACUAAGGGGCCUGGCUCCGUGGUCCCCUGGCUGACGUUCCUCUUCGCAGCUCCGAGCGAAAAUUCAAAAUGAAUCAAAACUUUCAACAACGGAUCUCUCGGUUUUGGCAUCGAUGAAGAACGCAGCGAAAUGCGAUAAGUAAUGUGAAUUGCAGAAUUCAGUGAAUCAUUGAAUCUUUGAACGCACAUUGCGCCCGCCAGUAUUCUGGCGGGCAUGCCUGUCCGAGCGUCAUUUCAACCCUCGAACCCCUCCGGGGGAUCGGCGUUGGGGAUCGGGACCCCUCACACGGGUGCCGGCCCCUAAAUACAGUGGCGGUCUCGCCGCAGCCUCUCCUGCGCAGUAGUUUGCACAACUCGCACCGGGAGCGCGGCGCGUCCACGUCCGUAAAACACCCAACUUUCUGAAAUGUUGACCUCGGAUCAGG
rnacentral:rRNA from 1 species